rnacentral:rRNA from 6 species
CGGCCGGGAACUCAAAGGAGACUGCCAGUGAUAAACUGGAGGAAGGUGGGGAUGACGUCAAGUCAUCAUGGCCCUUACGACCAGGGCUACACACGUGCUACAAUGGCGCAUACAAAGAGAAGCGACCUCGCGAGAGCAAGCGGACCUCAUAAAGUGCGUCGUAGUCCGGAUUGGAGUCUGCAACUCGACUCCAUGAAGUCGGAAUCGCUAGUAAUCGUGGAUCAGAAUGCCACGGUGAAUACGUUCCCGGGCCUUGUACACACCGCCCGUCACACCAUGGGAGUGGGUUGCAAAAGAAGUAGGUAGCUUAACCUUCGGGAGGGCGCUUACCACUUUGUGAUUCAUGACUGGGGUGAAGUCGUAACAAGGUAACCGUAGGGGAACCUGCGGUUGGAUCACCUCCUUACCUGAAAGAA